UACGUAGGGAGCAAGCGUUGUCCGGAAUUAUUGGGCGUAAAGAGCUCGUAGGCGGUUUGUCGCGUCUGCCGUGAAAGUCCGGGGCUCAACCCCGGAUCUGCGGUGGGUACGGGCAGGACUAGAGUGGAUGUAGGGGAGACUGGAAUUCCUGGUGUAGCGGUGAAAUGCGCGAUAUCAGGAGGAACACCGAUGGCGAAGGCAGGUCUCUGGGCAUUAACUGACGCUGAGGAGCGAAAGCAUGGGGGAGCGAACAGG
rnacentral:rRNA from 1 species